UGGCUUAGAGGGUAAAGCAUCUGCCUGCAGUGCGGGAGACUCAGGUUCGAUCCCUGG
rfam:TPA: Bos taurus chromosome 23, whole genome shotgun sequence.